AUACGAAGGGUGCAAGCGUUACUCGGAAUUACUGGGCGUAAAGCGUGCGUAGGUGGUGGCUUAAGUCCGUUGUGAAAGCCCUGGGCUCAACCUGGGAAUUGCAGUGGAUACUGGGUCACUAGAGUGUGGUAGAGGGUGGCGGAAUUCCCGGUGUAGCAGUGAAAUGCGUAGAGAUCGGGAGGAACACCCGUGGCGAAGGCGGCCACCUGGGCCAACACUGACACUGAGGCACGAAAGCGUGGGGAGCAAACAGGAUUAGAUACCCUGGUAGUCCACGCCCUAAACGAUGCGAACUGGAUGUUGGGUUCAAUUUGGGACUCAGUAUCGAAGCUAACGCGUUAAGUUCGCCGCCUGGGGAGUACGGUCGCAAGACUGAAACUCAAAGGAAUUGACGGGG
rnacentral:rRNA from 1 species